GACGAACGCUGGCGGCGUGCUUAACACAUGCAAGUCGAACGGAAAGGCCCUGCUUUUGUGGGGUGCUCGAGUGGCGAACGGGUGAGUAACACGUGAGUAACCUGCCCUUGACUUUGGGAUAACUUCAGGAAACUGGGGCUAAUACCGGAUAGGAGCUCCUGCUGCAUGGUGGGGGUUGGAAAGUUUCGGCGGUUGGGGAUGGACUCGCGGCUUAUCAGCUUGUUGGUGGGGUAGUGGCUUACCAAGGCUUUGACGGGUAGCCGGCCUGAGAGGGUGACCGGCCAAAAUGGGAAUGAGAUAAGGGCCAGAAUCCUAAGGGAGGCAGCAGUGGGGAAUAUUGGAAAAAGGGCGGAAGCCUGAUGCAGGAACGCCGGGGGCGGGAUGACGGCCUUCGGGUUGUAAACCGCUUUCGCCUGUGACGAAGCGUGAGUGACGGUAAUGGGUAAAGAAGCACCGGCUAACUACGUG
rnacentral:rRNA from 1 species